UGAAGAUACAGAUAAGAUAAUAUAAUUUAGCACACCCCUUAACUCUUCAAAUAUAGUUGAAAUUCCUAUAACAAAAUAUAGAUCUUCAAUAUGGCAGUUGUGACUGCAUAAUUUUAUACAGUUCACACCCACUUAGUUAUACUUGUCAAAACUAUGAUAUUAUUUAGUUGGGUUGCUCAAUCCUCUCUCGCCAUCUGCUCUCUCCGUCCCUCGAUCCACCUCACCCACCGCCAAAUCUCAACGCCAUGUCCUUAGCAAACCACAGGGCAUCGCUAAGGACCAGCCGAUGCCUCGCCGACGAUCGUAUCACUGAUGAAGUGAUGCCCUGAUUACAAAUCUGAAGAGGAUGGUGAAAGAGAUGAUGAGUGAGCAUCAAUAUCUUUGGAGACCUCAACUACACACUGGAGCAAUGUAUGUGGAUCUUCAAUAUCGUCAUGGUGCUUCUCAUACUCCAUAGUCCAGUGCACGUUGCAUCCCUCGCCUUUCGGAGUUGCGUGGAUGGUGGCCUUGAAGCUCUUGUAAUGCUCCAAAAGAUCUCCUUCAAUCACUU